GGUUAAGCGACUAAGCGUACACGGUGGAUGCCCUGGCAGUCAGAGGCGAUGAAGGGCGUGCUAAUCUGCGAUAAGCGCCGGUAAGGUGAUAUGAACCGUUAUAACCGGCGAUACCCGAACGGGGAAACCCAGUGUGACUCGUCACACUAUCAUUAACUGAAUCCAUAGGUUAAUGAGGCGAACCGGGGGAACUGAAACAUCUAAGUACCCCGAGGAAAAGAAAUCAACCGAGAUUCCCCCAGUAGCGGCGAGCGAACGGGGAGGAGCCCAGAGCCUGAAUCAGCAUGUGUGUUAGUGGAAGCGUCUGGAAAGGCGCGCGAUACAGGGUGACAGCCCCGUACACAAAAGCGCAUGUGCUGUGAGCUCGAUGAGUAGGGCGGGACACGUGGUAUCCUGUCUGAAUAUGGGGGGACCAUCCUCCAAGGCUAAAUACUCCUGACUGACCGAUAGUGAACCAGUACCGUGAGGGAAAGGCGAAAAGAACCCCGGCGAGGGGAGUGAAAAAGAACCUGAAACCGUGUACGUACAAGCAGUGGGAGCACAGGUUUACCUGUGUGACUGCGUACCUUUUGUAUAAUGGGUCAGCGACUUAUAUUCUGUAGCAAGGUUAACCGAAUAGGGGAGCCGGAGGGAAACCGAGUCUUAAUUGGGCGUUAAGUUGCAGGGUAUAGACCCGAAACCCGGUGAUCUAGCCAUGGGCAGGUUGAAGGUUGGGUAACACUAACUGGAGGACCGAACCGACUAAUGUUGAAAAAUUAGCGGAUGACCUGUGGCUGGGGGUGAAAGGCCAAUCAAACCGGGAGAUAGCUGGUUCUCCCCGAAAGCUAUUUAGGUAGCGCCUCGUGAAUUCAUCUCCGGGGGUAGAGCACUGUUUCGGCUAGGGGGCCAUCCCGGCUUACCAACCCGAUGCAAACUGCGAAUACCGGAGAAUGUUAUCACGGGAGACACACGGCGGGUGCUAACGUCCGUCGUGAAGAGGGAAACAACCCAGACCGCCAGCUAAGGUCCCAAAGUCAUGGUUAAGUGGGAAACGAUGUGGGAAGGCCCAGACAGCCAGGAUGUUGGCUUAGAAGCAGCCAUCAUUUAAAGAAAGCGUAAUAGCUCACUGGUCGAGUCGGCCUGCGCGGAAGAUGUAACGGGGCUAAACCAUGCACCGAAGCUGCGGCAGCGAACGUAUCACUUAAAGCGAUUCAGCGGGUUACGAUUGACGGAGCGAAGCGACGUCAAAGCGUAUACAAAGUCGAGUCGGUUUAAGGAUACGUUCGUUGGGUAGGGGAGCGUUCUGUAAGCCUGUGAAGGUGGCCUGUGAGGGUUGCUGGAGGUAUCAGAAGUGCGAAUGCUGACAUAAGUAACGAUAAAGCGGGUGAAAAGCCCGCUCGCCGGAAGACCAAGGGUUCCUGUCCAACGUUAAUCGGGGCAGGGUGAGUCGACCCCUAAGGCGAGGCCGAAAGGCGUAGUCGAUGGGAAACAGGUUAAUAUUCCUGUACUUGGUGUUACUGCGAAGGGGGGACGGAGAAGGCUAUGUUGGCCGGGCGACGGUUGUCCCGGUUUAAGCGUGUAGGUGUGUGUUCCAGGUAAAUCCGGUUCACUUUAACACUGAGGCGUGAUGACGAGGCACUACGGUGCUGAAGCAACAAAUGCCCUGCUUCCAGGAAAAGCCUCUAAGCAUCAGGUAACAUCAAAUCGUACCCCAAACCGACACAGGUGGUCAGGUAGAGAAUACCAAGGCGCUUGAGAGAACUCGGGUGAAGGAACUAGGCAAAAUGGUGCCGUAACUUCGGGAGAAGGCACGCUGACACGUAGGUGAAGUGAUUUACUCAUGGAGCUGAAGUCAGUCGAAGAUACCAGCUGGCUGCAACUGUUUAUUAAAAACACAGCACUGUGCAAACACGAAAGUGGACGUAUACGGUGUGACGCCUGCCCGGUGCCGGAAGGUUAAUUGAUGGGGUCAGCGCAAGCGAAGCUCCUGAUCGAAGCCCCGGUAAACGGCGGCCGUAACUAUAACGGUCCUAAGGUAGCGAAAUUCCUUGUCGGGUAAGUUCCGACCUGCACGAAUGGCGUAAUGAUGGCCAGGCUGUCUCCACCCGAGACUCAGUGAAAUUGAACUCGCUGUGAAGAUGCAGUGUACCCGCGGCAAGACGGAAAGACCCCGUGAACCUUUACUAUAGCUUGACACUGAACAUUGAGCCUUGAUGUGUAGGAUAGGUGGGAGGCUUUGAAGCGUGGACGCCAGUCUGCGUGGAGCCGACCUUGAAAUACCACCCUUUAAUGUUUGAUGUUCUAACGUGGACCCGUAAUCCGGGUUGCGGACAGUGUCUGGUGGGUAGUUUGACUGGGGCGGUCUCCUCCUAAAGAGUAACGGAGGAGCACGAAGGUUGGCUAAUCCUGGUCGGACAUCAGGAGGUUAGUGCAAUGGCAUAAGCCAGCUUGACUGCGAGCGUGACGGCGCGAGCAGGUGCGAAAGCAGGUCAUAGUGAUCCGGUGGUUCUGAAUGGAAGGGCCAUCGCUCAACGGAUAAAAGGUACUCCGGGGAUAACAGGCUGAUACCGCCCAAGAGUUCAUAUCGACGGCGGUGUUUGGCACCUCGAUGUCGGCUCAUCACAUCCUGGGGCUGAAGUAGGUCCCAAGGGUAUGGCUGUUCGCCAUUUAAAGUGGUACGCGAGCUGGGUUUAGAACGUCGUGAGACAGUUCGGUCCCUAUCUGCCGUGGGCGCUGGAGAACUGAGGGGGGCUGCUCCUAGUACGAGAGGACCGGAGUGGACGCAUCACUGGUGUUCGGGUUGUCAUGCCAAUGGCACUGCCCGGUAGCUAAAUGCGGAAGAGAUAAGUGCUGAAAGCAUCUAAGCACGAAACUUGCCCCGAGAUGAGUUCUCCCUGAGACUUAGAGUCUCCUGAAGGAACGUUGAAGACGACGACGUUGAUAGGCCGGGUGUGUAAGCGCAGCGAUGCGUUGAGCUAACCGGUACUAAUGAACCGUGAGGCUUAACCUU
rnacentral:rRNA from 1 species